CAGUUUUGCUGACAUGGCGCUCUAAUAAAUGUGCAUGACAUCCUGGUGAAACCCCAACUGAGACUGGCCUUAUAAUACCACCUCCAUCAUAAAACAAACAAUUUCUAUAAUCACUUAAGUUAAACUAUUUUAAGUCUAACUAACUUUAUAGAAAAAAAGUAACAAAGUUGAUUUAAUUUAGAAUCGAGGGAGUAAAAUUUACUUACAUCCUUUAGAAAUUUUGCAGCCCCGUUUGGAAGGGCUCUUCGCUGCUCCGGCUUUUCCAAUUCGUGCACUAUUUAUGGUACUAUUCAUUGACAUUUUUUUUCUUUUUUCAAAUAAACUGAGAGCUAAGAGAAGUAUCUAUUUUUAGCUCCUACGGUUCUAGACUCCCCAGCAACCGUAGAACGAAACCACUGCCGGAAGAAGCCCAACCAAACAAAGCUGCACAAGUACAUAUAUGCUUUUCAACGGGCCA
rnacentral:lncRNA from 1 species